ACCAGUGGCGAUAGCACGUCUAAUGCACCAGUUCCCCACGGAUCACCGAAGUUAAGCAACGUUGCGCGCGGUUAGUACGUGACCAUCUGGUCAAUCGCGUGCUGCUGGGU
rfam:Asian citrus Psyllid, Diaphorina citri - Florida Strain, whole genome shotgun sequence.